CAAUAUAAUACAAGAGUUCACAUUACAUAAAACAACCCCCUCUCAUCUUCCUCCCCCAACCAAGACUCCUUCCAUAAUUUUUCCUUUAAUUUUUAUUAGAUUGCAAUUUAAAGAUUCUCAGCUGAAAAACCCAUAUUUUCUCUUCUUUAAUGUUCGUCGAAAUUUCUGCUGUUUAAGAGGUUCUUGUUGAGAUUCUGAGAUAUAGACUCAUUCGGAUUUUUAUUUUUAUUUUUUAAAAUUAGUAUUGUUAUUUUUAAAUUUUCUGUAGAAUUUUCUCUGGGUUUAUUGUAGAAAUCCAUUAUAAAAACACGGUGGCAUAUAUGCUAUAAAGGGCUAAAAGAUUAACUGAACCUAUAUAUUUCUUGUACAUUUUUGUUCCAAAAAGGCUUUUUCUCCAGAAUUUGCAAUUUUUUUUUUGUGCCUUUUCUCUGUCGAAUUUAUCUAAAAUUUAGUAUUUUGGAAAUAAAGGAGGAAAAAAGAAACAGAAAGACAUGGGAAAGCAAGGACCUUGCUACCACUGUGGUGUUACUAGCACCCCUCUUUGGCGUAAUGGUCCCCCCGAGAAACCAGUUUUAUGCAAUGCAUGUGGUUCUCGGUGGAGAACAAAGGGAACAUUGGCAAACUAUUUUCCUCUACAUGCUAGGUCAGAACCUAAUGGCUUUGAGGACUAUAAGGUUUUGAAGGUGAAGAACAUAUCUAUGAAUGACAAAGCGAACAUUCUCAAACGAAAAAAAGAAAA